GCCCCUAUAGCUUAACGGAUAAAGUAUUUGCCUUCUAAGCAAAUGAUCCAGGUUCGAUUCCUGGUAGGGGCA
rnacentral:tRNA from 3 species